UACGUAGGCAGCGAGCGUUGUUCGGAGUUACUGGGCGUAAAGGGUGCGUAGGCGGUUGUUUAAGUUUGGUGUGAAAUCUCCCGGCUCAACUGGGAGGGUGCGCCGAAUACUGAAUGACUAGAGUGCGGGAGAGGAGAGUGGAAUUCCUGGUGUAGCGGUGAAAUGCGUAGAUAUCAUUUGGAACGCCAAUGGUGAAAAACAGGUAGCUGGGGCUGUGCUGACGCUGAGACACGAAAGCCAGGGGAGCAAACGGG
rnacentral:rRNA from 1 species